ACGCUGGCGGCGUGCCUAAUACAUGCAAGUCGAACGGUCUUUUCUAUGGAAGCUUGCUUCCACUGAGAAGAUAGUGGCGAACGGGUGAGUAACACGUGGGUAACCUGCCCAUAAGAGGGGGGAUAACAUCCGGAAACGGGUGCUAAUACCGCAUAGUUUUUCUUGAUCGCAUGAUCGGGAAAGGAAAGACGGCCUUUGUGCUGUCGCUUAUGGAUGGACCCGCGGCGUAUUAGUUAGUUGGUGAGGUAACGGCUCACCAAGACGAUGAUACGUAGCCGACCUGAGAGGGUGAUCGGCCACAUUGGGACUGAGACACGGCCCAAACUCCUACGGGAGGCAGCAGUAGGGAAUCUUCCGCAAUGGACGAAAGUCUGACGGAGCAACGCCGCGUGAGUGAAAGAAGGUUUUCGGAUCGUAAAACUCUGUUGUCAGAGAAGAACAAGUUGGAGAGUAACUGCUCCAGCCUUGACGGUAUCUGACCAGAAAGCCACGGCUAACUACGUGCCAGCCGCCGC
rnacentral:rRNA from 1 species